AUUGAACGCUGGCGGCAUGCCUUACACAUGCAAGUCGAACGGCAGCGGGGGAGAAGCUUGCUUUUCCUGCCGGCGAGUGGCGAACGGGUGAGUAAUACAUCGGAACGUGCCCUGUAGUGGGGGAUAACUAGUCGAAAGAUUAGCUAAUACCGCAUACGACCUGAGGGUGAAAGGGGGGGACCGCAAGGCCUCAUGCUAUAGGAGCGGCCGAUGUCUGAGUAGCUAGGUGGUGGGGUAAAGGCCUACCAAGGCGACGAUCAGUAGCUGGUCUGAGAGGACGAUCAGCCACACUGGGACUGAGACACGGCCCAGACUCCUACGGGAGGCAGCAGUGGGGAAUUUUGGACAAUGGGCGAAAGCCUGAUCCAGCAAUGCCGCGUGUGUGAAGAAGGCCUUCGGGUUGUAAAGCACUUUUGUCCGGAAAGAAAUGGCUCUGGUUAAUACCUGGGGUCGAUGACGGUACCGGAAGAAUAAGGACCGGCUAACUACGUGCCAGCAGCCGCAGUAA
rnacentral:rRNA from 1 species